rnacentral:rRNA from 1 species
AUUGAACGCUGGCGGCAGGCCUAACACAUGCAAGUCGAGCGGAUGAAGGGAGCUUGCUCCUGGAUUCAGCGGCGGACGGGUGAGUAAUGCCUAGGAAUCUGCCUGGUAGUGGGGGAUAACGUCCGGAAACGGGCGCUAAUACCGCAUACGUCCUGAGGGAGAAAGUGGGGGAUCUUCGGACCUCACGCUAUCAGAUGAGCCUAGGUCGGAUUAGCUAGUUGGUGGGGUAAAGGCCUACCAAGGCGACGAUCCGUAACUGGUCUGAGAGGAUGAGCAGUCACACUGGAACUGAGACACGGUCCAGACUCCUACGGGAGGCACCAGUGGGGAAUAUUGGACAAUGGGCGAAAGCCUGAUCCAGCCAUGCCGCGUGUGUGAAGAAGGUCUUCGGAUUGUAAAGCACUUUAAGUUGGGAGGAAGGGCAGUAAGUUCAUACCUUGCUGUUUUGACGUUACCAACAGAAUAAGCACCGGCUAACUUCGUG